GAGUUUAAUGGAGGCGAUGUUGUCGAAGGCAGGAGAUAAACGAGAUGCGUGAACAGUAUCAGAGUGGCAAAAGCAUGGGAAGACAAAGAAAUGAUGAGGUUCUGGAAUUCUUAGCAUUAGUUUAGAUUUCUUUUUGGAGGAUGAGCUACUUUUCAAUCCAAAUUCACCCUCAUUCACAUCUCCCACAAUCGCAAAGGGAACCUGUUAAAGGAGACGCGCUUGAUUUUUUUGUUCUUCGAAAUCGCCCCACAGCCGCUAACGACUGACCGCGGCUUUAGCUUUCAGCACAACGUCGAACCAGAGCUUAGCGGUGAGGUGAGUCCGCGGAAUAUGAGUCCUCUGCUGCUGCCCUUCCAUUCGCCAAUGCCAAUGCAAAACAACAACACCCGAUCCGAAACGGCGACCGAUACGAUCUGCUCGGCCGGAGCUUCGCAGUCGAAGUGGUUGAGAUGCAAACAAAUAAAAGUUUAAGAUGAAACAAUAAAACAUGAUAAAAAAUUACUCCCCAUUUACAUCGAGGGCACCAACCACCGCCACCACUCGGUGGAUUCCUCUCAAGCCGCCUGAAACAGUAUUUGGAGCGAGGGGGAAGGAAACUGGUUUCGUUUGCUGCGCGCUUGUGCGCUGCCGUAUUAUGCUGAUUGCGUUGCACACGCCGAUUUUAAUGGAAUAAUUACAAUUUAUUAACUCAUUAUUAAA